UACGUAGGGUGCAAGCGUUAAUCGGAAUUACUGGCGUAAAGCGUGCGCAGGUGGUUUUGUAAGACCGACGUGAAAGCCCCGGGCUCAACCUGGGAACCGCGUUAGUGACUGCAAGACUAGAGUGUGGCAGAGGGGGGUGGAAUUCCGCGUGUAGCAGUGAAAUGCGUAGAGAUGCGGAGGAACACCGAUGGCGAAGGCAGCCCCCUGGGCUAACACUGACACUCAUGCACGAAAGCGUGGGGAGCAAACAGG
rnacentral:rRNA from 1 species